AUUGAACGCUGGCGGCAGGCCUAACACAUGCAAGUCGAGCGGCAGCGGAAAGUAGCUUGCUACUUUGCCGGCGAGCGGCGGACGGGUGAGUAAUGUCUGGGAAACUGCCUGAUGGAGGGGGAUAACUACUGGAAACGGUAGCUAAUACCGCAUGACCUCGCAAGAGCAAAGUGGGGGAUCUUCGGACCUCACGCCAUCGGAUGUGCCCAGAUGGGAUUAGCUAGUAGGUGAGGUAAUGGCUCACCUAGGCGACGAUCCCUAGCUGGUCUGAGAGGAUGACCAGCCACACUGGAACUGAGACACGGUCCAGACUCCUACGGGAGGCAGCAGUGGGGAAUAUUGCACAAUGGGCGCAAGCCUGAUGCAGCCAUGCCGCGUGUGUGAAGAAGGCCUUAGGGUUGUAAAGCACUUUCAGCGAGGAGGAAGGCAUCACACUUAAUACGUGUGGUGAUUGACGUUACUCGCAGAGGAAGCACCGGCUAACUCCGUGCCAGCAGCCGCGGUAAUACGGAGGGUGCAAGCGUUAAUCGGAAUUACUGGGCGUAAAGCGCACGCAGGCGGUUUGUUAAGUCAGAUGUGAAAUCCCCGCGCUUAACGUGGGAACUGCAUUUGAAACUGGCAAGCUAGAGUCUUGUAGAGGGGGGUAGAAUUCCAGGUGUAGCGGUGAAAUGCGUAGAGAUCUGGAGGAAUACCGGUGGCGAAGGCGGCCCCCUGGACAAAGACUGACGCUCAGGUGCGAAAGCGUGGGGAGCAAACAGG
rnacentral:rRNA from 1 species